AGUAACCAAUGGACGUUUCCCAGAACGCUUCAGUGAGCGUUGCCUCUCCACGGAACGAGGUUGUGUGUCCAUUCCUCGGCUCCUGUGUGGUGAUGUGAGCUGAGGGCUGUAAAUACCCUCCAGCCUGGCAGGGUUGUUGGGACGAAUGAGAUAGGCUCUUCAAGGAAUUAACCAGGACUCAGUAAGCGACUGAAAAGUGUGAACUCUCUGAUGGGCUUGAAGGUAUGAGCUCCAACUGAAGACCUUCCCACAUUCCUCACAUUUGUAUGGCUUCUCUCCAGUGUGGACCCUCUGGUGGGCUUGAAGGUAGGAUCUCUGUCGAAAACGCUUUCCACACACAUCACAUCGGUAUGGUUUUUCUCCUGUGUGGACGCCACGAUGAGCCAGAAAGUUUGAGGCCCGACAGAAGCCCUUCCCACACUCCGCACAUUGAUAUGGUUUCUCUCCAGUGUGGCACCUCUGAUGGGCUUGAAGCUGAGAACCUACACUGAAGCCCUUCCCACACUCAGCACACUGAUAUGGUUUCUCCCCAGUGUGGACUCUCUGAUGCACUUGAAGACUUGAGAACUGACUGAAAGCCUUGCCACACUUUUCACAUUUAUAGGGUUUCUCUCCUGUAUGGAUUCUACAGUGAACGUUAAGAUCUGAACUCCGACUGAAGCCCUUCCCACAAGUACCACAUUUGUAUGGCUUUUCUCCAGUGUGGCCUCUCUGAUGGGCCAGAAGAUUUGAGGCCUGACUGAAGCCCUUACCACACUCCUCACAUUUAUAGGGUUUUUCUCCUGUAUGGACUCUAAAAUGAAUGUUAAAAUCUGAGCUACGACUGAAGCCCUUACCACAAGCAUCACACUGAUACGGUUUCUCUCCAGUAUGGCCUCUCUGAUGGUCCAGGAGAUUUGAGGCCCGACAGAAACCCUUCCCACACUCCUCACAUUUGUAUGGUUUCUCUCCAGUGUGGCUUAUCUGAUGGGCCUGAAGGUGUGAACCCACACUGAAGCCUUUCCCACACUCCUCACAUUUGUAGGGUUUCUCCCCUGUGUGGAUUCUACAGUGAAUGUUAAGGUGUGAGCUAUAACUAAAGCCCUUGCCACAUGCAUUGCAUUUGUAUGGUUUCUCUCCAGUGUGGAUUCGCUGAUGGGCCUGUAGUCGUGAACGCCAACUGAAGCCCUUCCCACACUCUUCACAUUUAUAAGGUUUCUUUCCAGUGUGGACUCUCUGAUGGACUUGAAGAUAAGAGCUAUGGCUGAAGCUCACUCCACACUCCUCACAUUUAUAGGGUUUCUCUCCUGGGUGGACUAGCAGAGGACCUUGGCAAUAUGAGCUUUUUCGGACACUCCUCCCAUGCUCCUCAUGCUUGUAUGGAUUCUCUCCAGUAUGGACUCUCCGAUGAUGGGGAGAUUGCAACUUUUGACUGAAACCCUUACACAAUUCAUCAGAUUUGUUUGAACUCUCUCUACUGUGCACUCUCUGAUGGGCUUGUAGACUGGAAAAUCGACGGAAGGUAUUAUCACAUUUUUCACAUUUGUAGGGCUUGUCUCCUGCAUGGGGUCUCUGGUGAGAAUCCAAAAUUGAACCUUUCUUACAUGUCUCCCUUUUGUAAUGUUUUUUAUCAACAUGGAUUCUGUGGUAAACUUGAAGACGUGAAUCCUUGUUAAAACAUUUCUUGAACACAUCUUCAGAGAGUGCAACAUCUUGUUUUUUUAACCAAGAGCCAGUUCCUUGAAUAUUUAUCAUGGACUCUUGAUGCCCAGUUAAGUCCCCUGUAACCUGUUGCCAGACUUGUGAGUAGAAAAGCUCAUCAUGGGGCAGAUACUGUAACUUUACUUCUUGGAGAGUCUCUAUCUCACUUAGAUUCUUAUUUCCUAAAAGGACAAAGAGAAUUCAGAGAUGAGGCAUGUGAAUGCUCUAUUCAGUUAGGCCAAUAGCCUAAGGUUUUAUUAAGAAGGUUCUAUUUUUUUUUAUCAUCAUGCAUUAGGUUAUCUGUCUUAUAAGAGCCCCAAAACCAAGAGACAGUCUACUAUGCUCCCAUUCACUGCACAAUAAUGACACUCAUUUAGAGUUUUCCUAAGUUUUAUAAGUAAGCUAUAAGUUAGAAAUUUGAUAGUCAAAGAGCAAGAAUAAUACUUCCUAGGAAACCUAUUCCAAGAAGCUGAACCUUACCAAAAGGCUUGCCUUCUUUGCUGCAGCAGGUGUCUGGAAAAAUCUUCUACAUAAUUUUUCUGCUUACUGCAUGUACAACUGGCUCAGCCAUUCAGUCUAGGGUAAUUGUUAUAGCAGUUGUGACAGACUAAGACAGUGAAUUAAUGGAUUUUAGCAUAUGUUUACCUAUAUCCAAAAGAACCUCGUAAACUAGAAAUAGGUUAGACACCUAACCGAAUAAAGCUGUUCUAGAUUGUGUUUCAUCACACAUUUGUACAUUUGUACUUACCAACCUUUAAGUAUCUCCAUAACUAAUAGAAAAAAAUCCAUGUAACCAUUAUUAACACAUUAAUUCAUUCCACAAGUAUUUAUAGGAAACCUGCCCUCUGCCGGGUCAAUUUUAUACACUGAGGAUAGAUCAACAAAAUAGACAAAAAUUUUCCUUUCUUCUGAGGUCACAUUCCAGUGGGAAUACAGUGAGAUAAUCAUGUAAACAAAAAUAUGUUAAUAUAAUAAGUGGUGAUCAAUGCUUAGAUGUAAAAUAAACAGGAAAAGGGAAGCAAAGGAAGAAGGCAAAAUUAACAGAGUGGUCAUGGAAGGCUUUUCUUCAGAUAGGACAUCUGAGAAGAGACCUGAUGAACUAAGGGAGGGGCGCCAAGAGGAUGACAGAAGGAAACACCACUCCUUACAAAAAGCAGUCCAAGCAGCAGAUGAUGAGGCACAAGCACACUCAGCCUAGCAGAGAGGCCAGUACGGAUGAACUGAUUGACAAGGAGGAAAGUCACAGGUGUGUUUACAGAACAAUGGGGGAACAAGGAGCAGACAGACACAUGAGACAUUAUAAACCACUUUAGGUACCUGGAUUUUACUCUAAACGAAGUAAGAAGUUGUUAGAGGUUUAGAAUAUGAAAUGAGACAUGAUCUGACUAACAUUCAAGAGUCAAAGAGGCUGGGAUUGUGGCUUAGUGGUAGAGCACUUGCCUAGCAUGUGUAAGGCACUGGGUUCGAUUCUCAGCACCACAUAAAAAUAAAUAAAAAUCCAUCAACGACUUAAAAAAUUUUUUUUAAAAAAGGAGCAAAAUCAAAGUGGAGAGUGGACUAUAAGAGAGCACAACUGAAGGAUGAGGGCAGAAUAAAGACCACUUCAGUGAUUAGAGACCCAGGCACUAGCUUAACUCAGAGCAAAGCUGUGGAGAUGACAAGGACAGACACAGAACUGCAUGGUUCUCACUUGGGGAGUUACCACUCUGAGUUGACACCUUCUUCAUCCAAAGCUCUUCUCUCUUUCUCUCUGGUGUGAUGGACUGAUGUCCUACAAAAAGACAAAAACAAAAUACAUUAGAGGCCAAAAUUGCUAAAAAUUGUCAUUCUCCCUGAUCAUCUUCAGGACAUCAAAACUAGUGUUUAUGGGCUGGGGUUGUGGCUCAGCAGUAGAGUGCUCACUUAGCAUGUGCAAGACCCGGGGUUCAAUCCUCAGCACCACAUAAAAUAAAUAAAUAAAUGAAAUAAAGGUAUUGUGUCCAUCUACAACUAAAAAAAAAGCUAGUGUUUUCCAAACUUUCAAUCAUGACUCAACAGAGGAAAUAUAUUCUAUGCGAAGACCCCAAAUAUGAAGACAUUAGUAUACAUUACUGGAAAAAAAAAAAGUCCUCUCUCUCUCUCUCUCCUCUCUCUUCUUUUUGGAGGCCGUGUCAUGACCUGCUUUCCUCACCAUACUGCUAAAAAUAAAUAAGUAAAUAAAUAAAUAAUUUUUUUUAAAAAAAAAAAAGUCUGUUUUCACUGUACCCUCCCCACUGCCUCUCACACUGCUCUUGGCAAUGUGAUGCAGUUUUGCAGUUAUGGUCACAUACAGUAUUUUCUACUGUACUGUAUUUCAUUAAGAAACAUUCAUACAAGGCUGAGGUUGUGACUCAGUGGUAGAGCUCUUGCCUAGCAUGUGUGAGGCACUGGGUUUGAGCACUGCAUGUAAAUAAACAAAAUAAAGGUCCAUCAACAACUAAAAAAAAAAAAAUUUCAUACAAUUCACUAAAUACCAUGACCCACUAAUUGGA